GACGAACGCUGGCGGCGUGCCUAAUACAUGCAGGUAGAACGCACAGUUUAUACCGUAGCUUGCUACACCAUAGACUGUGAGUUGCGAACGGGUGAGUAACGCGUAGGUAACCUGCCUGGUAGCGGGGGAUAACUAUUGGAAACGAUAGCUAAUACCGCAUAAUAUUAAUUAUUGCAUGAUAAUUAAUUGAAAGGUGCAAUUGCACCACUACCAGAUGGACCUGCGUUGUAUUAGCUAGUAGGUGAGGUAACGGCUCACCUAGGCGACGAUACAUAGCCGACCUGAGAGGGUGAUCGGCCACACUGGGACUGAGACACGGCCCAGACUCCUACGGGAGGCAGCAGGAGGGAAUCUUCGGCAAUGGACGAAAGUCUGACCGAGCAACGCCGCGUGAGUGAAGAAGGGUUUCGGAUCGUAAAGCUCUGUUGUAAGAGAAGAACGGGUGUGAGAGUGGAAAGUUCACACUGUGACGGUAUCUUACCAGAAAGGGACGGCUAACUACGUG
rnacentral:rRNA from 1 species